rnacentral:rRNA from 1 species
GACGAACGCGGGCGGCGUGCUUAACACAUGCCAGUCGAACGGAAAGGCCCUGCUUGUGUGGGGUGCUCGAGUGGCGAACGGGUGAGUAACACGUGAGUAACCUGCCCUUGACUUUGGGAUAACUUCAGGAAACUGGGGCUAAUACCGGAUAGGAGCGCCUGCUGCAUGGGGGGGGUUGGAAAGUUUCGGCGGGUGGGGAUGGACUCGCGGCUUAUCAGCUUGUUGGUGGUGUAGUGGCUUACCAAGGCUUUGACGGGUAGACGGCCUGCGAGGGUGACCGGCCACACUGGGACUGAGAUACGGCCCAGCCUCCUCCGGGAGGCAGCAGUGGGGAAUAUUGCACAAUGGGCGGAAGCCUGAUGCAGCAAAGCCGCGUGCGGGAUGACGGCAUUAGGGUUGUAACCCGCUUUCGCAUGUGACGAAGCGUGAGUGACGGUAAUGGGUAAAGAAGCACCGGCUAACUACGCG